CGGGACGGGUGAGUAACGCGUGGGUAACCUGCCUCACACUGGGGGAUAACAGUUAGAAAUAGCUGCUAAUACCGCAUAAGCGCACAGUUCCGCAUGGAACAGUGUGAAAAACUCCGGUGGUAUGAGAUGGACCCGCGUCUGAUUAGGUAGUUGGUGAGGUAACGGCCCACCAAGCCGACGAUCAGUAGCCGACCUGAGAGGGUGACCGGCCACAUUGGGACUGAGACACGGCCCAG
rnacentral:rRNA from 1 species